UACGGGGGGGGCAAGCGUUGUUCGGAAUUACUGGGCGUAAAGGGCUCGUAGGCGGCCAACUAAGUCGGGUGUGAAACCCCCAGGCUCAACCUGGGGACGCCACCCGAUACUGCUGUGGCUAGAGUCCAGUAGGGGAGUGUGGAAUUCCCGGUGUAGCGGUGAAAUGCGCAGAUAUCGUAAGGAAGACCAGUGGCGAAGGCGGGUCUCUGGGCCGAUACUGACGCUGAGGAGCGAAAGCGUGGGGAGCGAACAGG
rnacentral:rRNA from 1 species